GCACAAUCUCUACUCUCAAAAUAGGGCUCUGAAGUCUAGGAACAAGUCCUCAGCUCCUGAAAUGACAGAGGAGGAAAAGAUGCAGAUGCCUCCAGCUAUUACGAGUCCCAUGGCAACAAGGAUCAGAGGCAGAGCUGCUUUCCAUGCCGUGAACUGGGAGCUUCUGGAGAAGGUAGCUGGAGAAGAUUCCCAGAAGCCAGGAAUAUUGGGAACCAUGGGACACCAUGCCAAGAGUGAGCCCUCAUGAAAACUGCACUCUGGGUGCUGACGGCAUUGUCAACGGAAGUUCAUCAAACAUGGUGGACGUUCCUUCUGGUGUAGGGUUUUUAUGCUGGGGGAAGGUGUGUGAGGGGGUUAGGGGAAGAUGGGAACUCUCUGGACUUUCUACUAAAAUUUGUUGUGACCCUAAAACUGCUUUAAAAAAUAAAGCCUAUUUUAAAAAACCCUAAAAACUGUUGAUAUUAGGAUGUACAUUUCUUGUUCCCCCAAAGGCAAGGCUCUCCCCAGGGUCCCUGCACCCUUAUCUCUGUUCCUCUUCAGUAAUCAGCACCCAAACAGUGCACCUCCUGGGAUGCCCCAGCCAUGUGAGGACAGGGACCUGCCACCCAUCCCUGCUUGCCACAAACCCCACAGCUGUCUCUUAAUGUCCCCAGUGUCCAGGGCCACGGAAUCCUGUGCUCAGUGAUUGUGAGGACAGAACUGAAUAGAGGAC